rnacentral:rRNA from 1 species
CCUACGGGUGGCUGCAGUCGAGAAUCAUUCACAAUGGGGGAAACCCUGAUGGUGCGACGCCGCGUGGGGGAAUGAAGGUCUUCGGAUUGUAAACUCCUUUUAUGUGGGAGCAAAUUAAAAAGAUAGUACCACAAGACGAAGAGACGGCUAACUAUGUGCCAGCAUUCGCGGUAAUACAGAGGUCUCAAGCGUUGUUCGGAAUAACUGGGCGUAAAGCGUGCGUAGGCUGUUUCGUAAGUCGUGUGUGAAAAGCGCGGGCGCAACCGGCGGACGGCACGUGAUACUGAGAGACUAGAGUAAUGGAGGGGUAACCGGAAUUCUCGGUGUAGCAGUGAAAUGCGUAGAUAUCGAGAGGAACACUCGUGGCGAAGGCGGGUUCCUGGACAUUAACUGACGCUGAGGCACGAAGGCCAGGGGAGCGAAAGGGAUUAGAUACCCUAGUAGUC